rnacentral:ncRNA from 1 species
UUAGGUUCAUAAGAUUGAAAGGGAAAUUGGUGAAAAUCCAAUGCAGCCCCGCUACUGUAAGUGAGUACGAAAUCAACAAAAUGCCACUGAUAUUUGGGAAGGCGUUGAGAGUAGGAUGAUCCACAAGCCAGGAGACCUGCCUAUUAUUCUU